AUGUGACUCUUUAGUCAGGAGCACUGACCAUUUCUCCCUUAUAUUGUCAAAUAAAAAAAUGACAACAGCCAACACUGCAAUAGCCAUCUGGUGUGAAUGCCCUGUCUUAAACCAUAAAUACAUAGAUCAUAUAGUAGAGUUGCAUCGUAUCAGUCAUGUUGCAGAACAAGGUUGCAUGUGAUUGGUUAAUUCUUGGUAACAGAAAUCCUUACAUACAAGUCUAGGCACCUGAUUUUUUAAAAAAGAUUUUAUUUAUUUAUUUUUAGGGAGGGAAGGAAGGGGGGGAG